rnacentral:rRNA from 1 species
GAUGAACGCUGGCGGCGUGCCUAAUACAUGCAAGUCGAGCGAACAGACGAGGAGCUUGCUCCUCUGACGUUAGCGGCGGACGGGUGAGUAACACGUGGAUAACCUACCUAUAAGACUGGGAUAACUUCGGGAAACCGGAGCUAAUACCGGAUAACAUGUUGAACCGCAUGGUUCAACAGUGAAAGACGGUCUUGCUGUCACUUAUAGAUGGAUCCGCGCCGCAUUAGCUAGUUGGUAAGGUAACGGCUUACCAAAGCAACGAUGCGUAGCCGGCCUGAGAGGGUGAUCGGCCACACUGGAACUGAGACACGGUCCAGACUCCUACGGGAGGCAGCAGUAGGGAAUCUUCCGCAAUGGGCGAAAGCCUGACGGAGCAACGCCGCGUGAGUGAAGAAGGUCUUCGGAUCGUAAAACUCUGUUAUUAGGGAAGAACAAAUGUGUAAGUAACUAUGCACGUCUUGACGGUACCUAAUCAGAAAGCCACGGCUAACUACGUG